AUGAAACUAAUGUCGAGAAUAAUAAUUUACAAUCAUCUUUCUUGGAGGUGAAAGGUUAGAGAUAACCCAAGGUGGUGUAAAAAUGAUCAUGAGAACUUUCUCAGCAUCAGAUUAAGGAAGAUGGAAAAGUCAUUGGAAAGAUGCUUGUCGGAUAUAACAGCUCAGGGCAAAGAAAGAACUAUUAUUAGCAAUAAAAUGAUUGUCAAAGAAGGUACAGCGAUUGGCCAAAAAGAGAAAUCCAUUGCUUGCUUCUGCCAAAGAGCCAGCAUGGCAAAGCAAGCAAAGGACAAUUUCAGGCCCAUGACAAAUCUGUGGUCUGGGCCCCAUUUAAAAAAGUGCAUC
rnacentral:lncRNA from 1 species